rnacentral:lncRNA from 1 species
CUAUUAAUAUAAUGUAGGAUUAAAAAAUUAUGGAUACAAAAAUCAUUUAGCAUUUACAACUUCAACAACUUUUUUUUAAUAAGGUUCACUAAAAUACAAUAAUUAGCUACUGUAGUUGCACUACCAUUGUUUUUCGCCCACUCCCAUUUUCUGAUUUUCCUUGCACCGAACUGCUUUGAAUUUGUUCUCAUCAGCAUUGGAUCUGAGUUUGUUCUCAGCCUUACUACAUAUAUUUUUUUCUUCUCUGCUCUCCUUUGCCACCCCACAGUAGUUCUGUUCUUUGGUGCUUAAUUCUCUCAUUCAGCUUUUCCGCUCUUCGACACCCUUCUUCGUCUAGUCUCAGAGUUGUCUUCCCUUUGUAUCAUUAUUGCCACACUAAAUUUCUUCUUCGCCAAACACCCUC